ACUCCUACGGGAGGCAGCAGUAAGGAAUAUUGGUCAAUGGGCGGAAGCCUGAACCAGCCAUGCCGCGGAUGCAGGAGGACUUAGGAGUGUAAAGCUCUUCUACCCGGGAUGAUAAUAAGAAUACCGGGAGAAUAAGCUCCGGCUAACCAGCUGCCAGCAGCCGCGGUAAU
rnacentral:rRNA from 1 species